AUAUUGGGCAAUGGGGGAAACCCUGACCCAGCAACGCCGCGUGAAGGAAGAAGGCCUUCGGGUUGUAAACUUCUUUUACCAGGGACGAAGAAAGUGACGGUACCUGGAGAAAAAGCUCCGGCUAACUACGUGCCAGCAGCCGCGGUAAUACGUAUGGUGCAAGCGUUAUCCGGAUUUACUGGGUGUAAAGGGAGCGUAGACGGAUGUGCAAGUCUGGAGUGAAAGCCCGGGGCUCAACCCCGGGACUGCUUUGGAAACUGUAGAUCUAGAGUGCUGGAGAGGUAAGUGGAAUUCCUAGUGUAGCGGUGAAAUGCGUAGAUAUUAGGAGGAACACCAGUGGCGAAGGCGGCUUACUGGACAGUAACUGACGUUGAGGCUCGAAAGCGUGGGGAGCAAA
rnacentral:rRNA from 1 species